AUGGACAUGAGGGCCCCUGCUCAGCUACUCGGGCUCCUGGUGCUCUGGUUUCCAGGUGCCAGAUGUGAUAUUCAGAUGACCCAGUCUCCAUCCUCUUUGUCUGGAUCUCUUGGAGACAGAGUCACUAUCACUUGCCAGGCCAGUCAGGGCAUUAGCUAUAGUUUAAACUGGUUCCAGCAGAAACUAGGGAAAGCUCCUAAGCACCUGAUUUACCAUACAUCCAACUUGGAAGAUGGAGUGCCAUCUAGGUUUGCUGGAAGUGGGUAUGGAACAGAUUUUUCUCUCACCAUCAGCAGCCUGGAGCCUGAAGACAUUGCAACUUAUUACUGUCUACAGUAUGCUCAGUGUCCUCCCACAGUGAUACAAAUCAUAACAUAA